CACAACCACUACACUCUUACAAGCCUUUGAAAACCUCUCACCCCUCUAAAACAAAGAGCAAGGAAUUUCAAACUAGAAGUAAUCACAAGACUAAAGGUAGUGAUUGGUGCAAUUGUAUCAAAGACCUUGGAACUCCUUAAAUAGCCUAAGGGUCUCCACCUACUUUGAUAGCAAAACCAAUGUGGGACAAAAUCCCCACUUUCAUUUUAACACAAUUCCAACANAAAAAAUAUUCAUAUAUUCCUCAUUUGAAAUGGAAACAGGUAAGUUACCAGUGUCAAGGAGGCCUAUAACGACAUCUGAUGUCGGUGUUGCUGCAAGUUUGUCUUUGGUAAGUUUCAAGAAGUCCCAAGACCUUGUAGUAUGAAGCUUGUGCUUAUGGCUUGGAUUUACUGAAACCACUCCUUCCAUUUCUGCAGCAAUCUAUUUAGUUAGAAUGAAUAUAUUGGAACCUCUUUGGUUGAUUCGUUGCUCCGAGAUUGGAAUUAGCUCACCUGAAAUUCUGGUGGCUUCCUCGUCUGUGAGCUUGGCUGCAAAUCCAUUGAAACUUCUUCCAUAACUAUGGACCAACGAGUCUUUAGCUGCUGAAGCACUGAAUCCAUUGAAACAGAGAGUCUUGCGAGGAUCAAGGUUCCUCUCGAUUUGUAAGGUAGAUGAAGAUGGAAUCUUGUUUCAACUUAUACAUUGCAUUUUUUUUAAGUAGAACUUGCCAAUUUGCACUUAAUUUAGUUGGUUAUAGUCACUUUAGCUGUACUUCAUUCUACUGUUAGUCUAACAUAACAUCAGCAGGUUCAUGUUAUGUUUGGAAACAAACCUUCCGAGUACUCUAUGCAACAUUCCUUGAUGCUUGGAAGCAACCGAUGCACCUUCUUGAGGUCGAUCUCCCAUGUAGACAACGUGAAGCUGCAAAGACAACAGCUACUGACUGAGGGAGAGAGAGAGAGAGAGAGAGAGUUGAGAGAGUAGAGGAGAGCUUCCUUUCUAGGCAGUGGCAGUUGAGCACAAGGGCUGCAAGCACCAAAGGAUAGAGAAGUGAAAGCAGCCCGAUUUUCGCCAUUUCGAAUAGAAGAAAUAGACUCCGAUGGUUUGUUUUGUUGUUUAUAUAGGAAUGGAUUUGCAGCUGCAGGUUGUUUCCUCCGCAUGGUUUGAUGAGCUUAACCGGCAAUGAAAUGCCGCAGGCUACUUGUCUUGUUUUGAGAUUGCCGCCUCUACUUUCACAUAAUCUCUUGUUCAAUAGAUUCUGCAUUUUCCGAUAUUUCUCGGAUUAUUGUUAUCACAAUGUCACACUGUGUUGCAUGUUUUAUUUUCAACAUGCCAAAAAGUAUGCUAAAUAUUUCUGUCAAUACAUCUUUGCGUAUUAAUAGAUCA
rnacentral:lncRNA from 1 species